UACGUAGGGUGCGAGCGUUAAUCGGAAUUACUGGGCGUAAAGCGUGCGCAGGCGGUUCGUUGUGUCGGCGGUGAAAGCCCCGGGCUCAACCUGGGAAUGGCCGUUGAAACUGGCGAACUGGAGUGUGGCAGAGGGGGGUGGAAUUCCGCGUGUAGCAGUGAAGUGCGUAGAGAUGCGGAGGAACACCGAUGGCGAAGGCAGCCCCCUGGGCUGACACUGACGCUCAGGCACGAAAGCGUGGGGAGCAAACAGG
rnacentral:rRNA from 1 species